AAGUCGUAACAAGGUUUCCGUAGGUGAACCUGCGGAAGGAUCAUUAACACGUAUCCAAACGUUAAAACCCGAAUCACUACAACUUUCCGGGCUAUGAUUUAUCAGAGAUUGCGAACUACGCGGGUUACAAGAGCAGAAUGAAGGUUCACGGGGGGGUUCAAUAGGCAAUGUUUCCCCAAGCAGUCAGUGUCGGAAAGUGUCAUUGAUUGUGCAAGGAUAGCGCUUCUACGAUUCCUGUAGACCGUACACUCGGGCAGGAGCUUUGCCAAAGGGUCCCCAUGCCCCCUAAUAACCCCACAGUUUAAUGUGAAGCUCAAUGUAAUACAUUGGGUAAAAAAACCGAACAACUGUUAACAAUGGGUAUCUUGGUUCUC
rnacentral:misc_RNA from 1 species